rnacentral:lncRNA from 1 species
UCUGUUGACGUUAGUUCAGGUGAUAUGUCAUCUGUGGGUGUUAGUUCAGGUUAUAUGUCCUCUGUAGGCGUUAGCUCAGUUGAUGAGUCCUCUGUUGACGUUAGUUCAGGUGAUAUGUCCUCUGUAGGCGUUAGCUCAGUUGAUGAGUCCUCUGUUGACGUUAGUUCAGGUGAUAUGUCCUCUAUAGGCGUUAGCUCAGGUGAUGAGUCCUCUGUGGGUGUUAGUUCUGGUGAUAUUCUUGAAAUAAAUAAUAGUGCUUCAGACUGAUAAAAAUAAAAAUUGCUUGCCACAAAAUUAGCAUUGUUGCAAUGUGGUGUUCUCUUUCUCUAAAUAACAAAAAUUAUCUGGUAUGUAGCCGUAGCUGAAACAAAUAUCUCACCUCGAUACAAAAUCAAAAUCCCAGGCCCCAACGCGACAGGUAGGUAGUGUCAUUGGGCCAGUGGCCUUCACACGAUAUCUUAACAAAACUGUUUUGAAAGUUUUGGCUGGAUACUAUAAAUUCAUUUAUUUGAAGCAUUAUUUGAAUGAUUUUCUUUUCUAACAAAACCGGUUUUAUUCUCGGGAACGCUUCACGAUUGACACAAUAGUGGGACGUUGUCUGCCGAGUGAGAGGUAAGGGAGCUCAAAACAGCAUAUGACAGGAACACUGUAAAGGGUAUCAGUGUGAGCAGCUGUGCUCCUCUUGGGUCAUGCAGUUGAGGUGUGAUCUGUAUUACCACGCGUCGUCUACGACUUUAUUUGACACGCUUUAUUAUACAGUACCACCACGAGUAAUUUGAUCUGGUGAUUGUUGGUUUGUGUCGUAGCAUAUGGGUGGUUGUUUAUCAGCGGUUGUGUUAUUUCCUGGCAAAUUAUUUAUGAGUAACUGCAUGGGGUGGCAUUGAUCAGUUAGGGUGUAAGUACACGUGGUGUCAUUGAUGAGUUGUAGUGUAAGUACACGUGGUGUCAUUGAUGAGUUGUAGUGUAAGUACACGGGGCGUUAUUGAUGAGUUGUAGUGUAAGUACACGUGGUGUUAUUGAUGGGUUGCAGUGUAAGUACACGGGAUGUUAUUGAUGAGUUGUAGUGUAAGUAGACGGGGUGUCAUUGAUCAGUUGAAUGUUAGUACACGGAGGUGUUAUUGAUGAGUUGUAGUGAAAGUACACGGGGUGUUUUUGAUCAAUUGUAGGGUAAGUACACGGGGUGUUAUUGAUGAGUUGUAGUGUAAGUACACGUGGUGUUAUUGAUGGGUUGCAGUGUAAGUACACGGGAUGUUGUUGAUGAGUUGUAGUGUAAGUACACGUGGUGUCAUUGAUGAGUUGUAGUGUAAGUACACGGGAUGUUAUUGAUGAGUUGUAGUGUAAGUACACGGGGUGUUGUUGAUGAGUUGUAGUGUAAGUACACGUGGUGUCAUUGAUGAGUUGUAGUGUAAGUACACGUGGUGUCAUUGAUGAGUUGUAGUGUAAGUACACGUGGUGUCAUUGAUGAGUUGUAGUGUAAGUACACGGGGUGUUAUUGAUGAUUUGUAGUGUAAGUACACGGGGUGUUAUUGAUGAAGUGUAAUGUAAGUACACGGGAUGUUAUUGAUCAAUUGUAGGGUAACUGCGGAAACUCCUUCAGGUCUUAGUUCUCGCUACCGCUAAAAAGAUAUCUGUGGACAUCCCAUUACGGGUCACUUCAGAACCACCUUUCAUCCGACCAAUCAGAGUGUCACUUAUCAGGUCAUGAAAGUGACAGUCGGAAUGUGAUUUCUGAUCAUGCAACCUCGAAAGAUUUAACACGGGGUAUGCCGAACGACAGUUACGGGCUUAAUGACUGAAACCAUGCAAUCUAGGCCAUCUAUUUGCCAUUCCAGAAUAUUCGUUUGUUCUGUUUUCAAAUUUGUAAUCGAUAAUUUGUCAUAAUAUGUUUAAAAGCUUUGUCGCCGGUUAGAAACUGGUGCCGUAAAGCACGAGAAAGCUGCCUUCUGAUUGGCUUCUGUCGACUUCCUGUCAGUCAUUCCAUUGGUCGGUCAAAAUUCGCGAAAGGACGGUCUGAUGUGACCCGUAAUGGGACGUCCUCAGAUCUUUGUUUAGCUGUGUAACUGCGUGGGGUGUUAUUGAUGAUUUCCACAUGAGGCAUCGCCACAUUCGCGUUGUUCCGCUUUCAUAUAUUGUCUUACACUUGAGGUAAUGUAAGUAACGUCAAUACCGAGAUGCCACCGUUCUUCCACUCGUGUACUGGUAUAUUUGUUGUACUACAAAUAAUUAUUUCAAGAGAAAUUAAGCUAGGGGUUCAGUAAUAUGCUUAACCUAUGAUUGAAAGUGAUGACAAAGAGUCGUUGUGUGUGAAUCUGCUUGCUGUGUC